rnacentral:lncRNA from 1 species
CGGCCCGCCGCCCUCAUUGGCUGCGGGGCGGGGAGACGGCCGCCGCCAGCCAACCGCCCCGCGCCCACCAGGGGUGGAGCCGCCGCUCCGGCCUCGCCCAUCCCGCGGCCGCGCGGUCCCCGACCGCCCCGUCGGGCGGGGUCGGCGCGGGGGGCGCGGGGGGCAUCCCCGCUGCACGGCGGCCGCCUUCGCCGCGGGCACGGCGAGCGGGGAGCUCCGAGGAGGGGCGCGGGGCCGGCUCGCGGCUGUCAGGGCGGCUGGGAGCUCGGUGCCCUGUGCCGUUGCCGAGCCCGGCGGUGCGCGGCCCUCCCGCUGCGGCGCGCCCUCCCCGCUGAGCCUCGACGGUGGCCGGGGUGCGCGGCUGGCGGGGAGCGGACCGUGCGUGUGCGCAGGUAAGGGCACGGAGCGGUUAACUUCGCCGCCGCGAUGCGGCCGCUGUGACCCGGAGCUUUGAUUAACGCCGCUCUGCGAAAUGUAACUGGGACGAAUUCAAUUAACGGAAGCGCAUUUCUUCAACUUUUAAUUAGAUCUAUGCUAUUUAUCUAAUGUUUAAUAUAACACAAAGAGCUGCCUGGGCUCCGGAGGGAAAUGGAAGGAGAUGUGGAUGCAAGUUCAGCUUUCAAAAACACGACAGGAUAAAGUUCUUUGUUCUUCAGCCUGGUUCAGUGCUGCAUACCUCAAAGUAAUGGGAAAGAAGCGUUAUUUCGUUUGCAAAACUGUAAAAAUAAUAGGUUGAUAUUUAUGGGAGGGUUUCCCAUAACCUUGAGCUGGUUGCAGGAUACCAAGUAAGCACGCGGUUCCAGCCCAGCCUCAAUGCACAGCAGGCUGCUGAGUUACAGCUGUUACAAGAAAACUUGAGUACACGGUAAUGUAUUCACAACCAUGGAGUUGGCUUCACUUAGUAUGCACCACAGUGACAGUUAUCCAAAUUAUUCUUUAAUAUGAUAAAUAGCAAAUCUUGGCAAAGAGCCCCUUCUGCGUGCUGCUGUUUGCAGGUCACAGGAAGUCAAGGAGGUCCCAGGCUCAUGUCAGGAAUGGGCAUUUACAUGCGCUGUCAGCAGAACAUCACCCUGUCAAUCCUCAGUCCUGCUGUGGUGGUGGUAUUUGCCUUUAGCUCAGCUCAAAGAAAUAUUUUCUGAUCCCCUCAGUGCCCUGAGGUCUGUUUGUCACGUUAUAAAUCGUGAGGGAAUGUUUUGUUGUGAGAGAGAAAGGGGAAAAGGAAAGUGAGUGUUGUUUCUGCUGGGCUGCAUAGAGGAGCCAUCAUAGUGUAGAUGCAAAUGUAGACAUGUAGUCACCUGCACCCACACCACCUUGUGCCAUUUAAAAAUAGGGUUCCUCCUCUCCCCCAGUGCAGCAGGUCUCAAGGACUGUUGUAGGAUCACAUAUCUGGUCAGUUAAAAAACCCUCACAUCUCAAUGCUGAUAACCUCAGGGACUCAAUGCUGUAUUUGGAACAGCCGUAUGGCCAGAUGUCUGCAGCAUUCUGGUGUUCUCAAGACUGGGCACUGUGUUCCUUGUCUUUGGAUUUGGGUGAAGGCAAAACACAUCAUCUAAACUCAAUGGCCUUUUCUUAGUCCAUAGGUAGAAAUGAAUAAGAAUGCAAUAUAAAAGUAGUCCUAAAGAGUGUUUCGCAUCACUUUCUUGCUCUCUGUUUGUGGCAGACCACGUACAAUCUGUUCCAUACAGAUAUAUAUAUAGAGAGAGAGAGAUAAAAGGAUGGGUUUGGUAGGGUCUGGUAGGUCGAAGGAGAUAAUGCACCUCAUGUCUGCCCCUGAGCUUUGUAAUUUGCACUGAGAAAUCACUGCCAAAGUUUCCUUCCUUCUCACACCCACUUGCUUCAUUUCCCUUUAGGCCCAGUAGCUUCUUCAUGCAAAGAGAGAUCUCCAGUCCUGUGAGCAAGUUCUGUUUAACCACUGCAUCCUCAACAAAAUGGGCAGUCACCAUCAAGUCAUGUCGUUAAUGAAAGCUUGUGAGGCUGUGGCACUUGAGGGAUGGUGAACACAUCCUGAAUAGGUGAGGAAAUUUUGGAAAAGCUAGGAGGCAUUUGACAAGUGACUGGAGUGCUACUCAAGCACUACCACUCACAAAGUACAGAUCAUUGUACGUAGGUCACUCUGAAAGUAAUUUCUCCUAUUUAUUUCUCAAACUACAACAGACACAGAGAGCAUGAUAAUACUGUUCGAUAGAGCAAAUUCUCACCUACACACCUACACUAUUUUUCAACGUAGUCACCACUAUUAGCUGUGCAUUUUCAUCAUCAACGAACAGGAGCCUGCAUGCUAUGCUCAUAAAAAUCUGCACAAGCAGAGGUGACUGAUUGUUUUGUAGUGGCUAUGAUGGUGCCAUUGCUAGGAAAAUGUUGCCCAUGCAGUCCAAGUUUCACCAUCCUGAAUACAUGGAAGUCAGAAGGCAAUAAAUCCAGACUCUAUGGUGGGUGUGGUGGGGCAGUCCAGCCAAAACUGGCAAUGUGCUCCACAGUCUGCUAACUGGUAUGAGGCCUGGUGUUACCAUGUUGCAAGAGAAAGGUUGUCUUUCUCUCUUUCCUGACUCUAGAAAUUCAAGCCUUCAACUCAGACAGUGCUGUGAUGUAGUUGAUGGUUUGCCUGGGUUCCAGGGAAGCCAGAACGAUCACCCCUUUCCUAACCCAAAAGACAGUGCACAUCACUUUAUGCACUAAGAGCUGCAUCUUGAACUUUUUUUGAUGAGGAAUUUUCAUCACCACUUCAUGGACUGCUGUUUUGAAUCCACUCUGUAGUGGUGACACUACAUCUCAUCACAAGUAAUGAUGCAAUCCAGGAAACUGCCCCAGCCUUGUGUUUCUUCAAUAGGUGCAAAUGAUGUUCUUUCUGUUCCUAUUUGAUCAUUUGUGGGACCCAUGUGGCACAAGCUUAGCAGUAUUUCAGCAUUACUGCCAUCAUUUCCAGUGCACUGAAGCUCCAUACACAGUUCCCUGGUUGUAAUAGCCUGAUUCACACAGAAGAGCUGAUUGAGACGCUUUGCAUAGCUGUCUGGAACAUGGCUUAUAUUUCAUGUCACUGUCCACUGCUGAAACGGACCACCCACCACCUCACUGUGCUCAUGUCCACUGUCGGGUCUCCAAAAGCAUUCAGCAACUGUCAGUGAAGGUAAAUGGGCAUCAGUUUUCCCAGGUGGAUGAAUUCGUCUGCACUUCCAUGUCAGAUGGCAUUUUGUCAGACUGCUCCUCUGCUGCCAUCUGUCACACGGCAACAAAAUGCACUGGAAUAUAGGUGGGAAGGUUCAACCUCUACUGCCAUAACACCAGCAUCCACCAACAUAAUAAAAAGGAGGUAUUGCUUUCAGAGCAACCUUUGUGUAUUUAAUGUUAUUAUUGUUGUGUCUUUCACAGUUGCAUUCAGGAAAUGUGUUCUGUCAUGAGAAAAAAAUAAGAAAUAUGCAAAACCAGACAAAAUUAUGUUCCAAAGCAAAGAUAUAUUCUAUUUUUUAAUGUGCAUCAAAACAGAAUCUUAAGUAGUGCCUACCAUUCAGAAGUUCUAUCAGAAAUCCUUAUAAGUACAAACAAAGAAACUGACUCUGAAUCAUCCUUCAUAUUCCUUGUUUUUAAUUUAGACUUUGACUGAGCCAGACGUAUGGGAGCAUCUGGGAAGAAUUUGAAUAAAAAAGCAAGAGCAGAAAGGAUACAAUGUUUGCCUUUGCAAUUUCUAUUUUCCAUUCUCUGUAUACUAUGGCUUCAAGAUAAAAGCUCAAGAUUAGAAAGCAAUAUGAGCUGUAAAAGCUAGGUUUUGAAAGUAAAAGACUCCCAUUUGCUCUAUAAACAAGGAAGAAGCCUGGGCCAAAGUCAAUGAAACUGAAGUAAUCUCAGGCCUGUCCUGGCAAGUUUUAUGGCAUAUAAAGAGCAGGUACUACAAUGGCAGUCACUGAACGGAGGCAAAUUCAGGAAGGACAACACUAGUAGCAUACCAAAAACAGCAAUCAGGGCUCUGGCUCUGGGCCCAAGCUGCCAUCAGUUUCCUUUUGUACAUCAGCUGUUGUGUGACCAAGUAUCACCACUACCACAAUCAGAUGUACAAGCUGGGAAGUCCGGCAAAUCAGGAGGGCAAAUCAGCAGGAGGUGAAUGAGUCAAUGAUAUCGAUGGCAGUUAAUUUACUUAUCAGGCAGAAUUUAGAACCAUAAACUAACAGGAAUUGAAUCGUGUCAUCGUGAUGAAAUUAUUCACCAACCUUGUGUAGUCCAAGAUCACAGGUACCUAUUUUUAACUGACAACAUUUUUACUUCCUACUUCAUUGCCACAUUAUUUUCUUCCUAUUUUUCCUUCGUUUCGGUCUUUUUUAAAGUUUUUUAUUAUAAGUCUAAAGACAAAGGAAUUACCUUCUGAGUAGGGGAAUGGGACAGUAUUUAAACAUGUUCCGAUUGCACAGAUAUCUGAAACUUCUCAUCUUAGCAGAUGAAACACCCACUCUUUAUUGUUUGUAUUCCAAGUUGAAAGGCAUCCAAGGGCUGGCGUGUACAGCUGAAAAUUAAAAGCUUGGAAUCCCACUUUAGGACACUGUCGUCCAACAGAGUUCAAUGAUAUUUCCACAGUAUAUACUAGCUGACACUAACGUAUUUAGUAGGUACAUUCUAAAUCAGGAAUCCAGACAUGAAACAUGAAAGCAAAGUAAGAAAUCCAAGUCUCAAAGGUGAGAAUUAACGGUCAAUACAACAAAUAAAUACUGGAGUAAUUAAAGCACGUGUCAUAUGACAUAUAUUUUGAAGAUGAUUUUUGGAGCAAUGUGUGAUAUUGUGAGUUGGAUAUACAGAGAGAAAAGUGUUGGCUUUUUUUUUUUUUUUUUUUCAAUCUUAGCUAAAAUUCAAAGGAUAAAAUCAAAUCACUUGUUAGUCCACUGACAGAUAUUUGUCUCAGUGUGUCAUUUUGAUUUUAUUGUUUCCUUGUGUUUGGUCUGUACACAUCUGCUGCUGCUUUCUCUGAGUUGUUUUAGCCAGAGAUGUUCUCUUUCAAUCUGCAUUUCUAUAGCAGCUAACACUGAGAGCUCGUGGUUUCUGCCCAGGGCUCCUGGACACUGCAGUGGUAUAAAUGAAAAUGGAAAUAUUCUCUUAUAAGAGAGUUCAAGGGCAGUCAAAUGAACCUGCAUAUGUUUUGCAGAGAUGUCAGCUGUGAAUGCAAGGACAGAUCUGAGUCAGUGUCAGUCUGUUCCCCUGUAGAUGGUGCCCCUAGUUCAAGGAUUCUGUUUUGGGUUGUCAACUACACUUCCCUAAUCUUCUUCCUCACUUUGAAAAUCAGUUUUCUCCCAAGUGGUGCUCAGAAUAGUACUCCAGACAAACAGUAUUUUCAGUGCAGAUAGGAAGAAGGGAACUGAAGUCCUGGUUUCACCUUCAGGUACAAUCUACUAUAUAAAAUAAAGAACAACUGAACCAUGACUUCCAGAGUGCCUAGGCAUUAUUAAUUUCCAAUCUUACUCUAUGGUGGUGAGCAUUAUGGCAUCCCCAGCGUAAAAUUUUUUGUCACUGGUGACUGUAUGCAUCAUAUGGAUGACUGUGUCAUAAAAAGAAUGGGAAGUGGGAUUUCUAAUUUAAUUUUGAGGAGCUGACCUUCACAAAUCACAAAAAAAGGGCUGUGUUUUCAGCCCGAAGAUAUAGAGGCUCAGCAGGGAACAUACUAAUGUCUAUAAAUAACUGAAUAUAGGGUGCAAAGACGAUGAGGCUAGGCUAUCUUUAGUGGAGCCUCAUGUCAGGAUAAGAGGCAAUGGGCACAAACUGGAACACAGGAGGUUCCACCUAAAUUUUGGGAAACACUUUAUAUAUAACAGAACAGUGGAAUGUGUUACCCAGAAACAUAGAGGAAUCUUGGAGAGCUUAGAGAGUUUCAAAAGCUGCCUGGACAUGGGCCUGGGCAUCCUGCUCUGGGUGUCCCUGCCUGAGUAGGGAUUGUACCAGAGGGCCCUGCCAACCUCAGCCAUUCUGGCAUUCCAUGUGAUGGCUGUCCAUAUUAAAUCUGAGACAUCAAGAAAGGUCUUUUCAAGUUGUUAUAAUACACAUAAGAGACAUUUGUGUCAUUCCAUGGUCUUCACUACAAAAUAAGGAUGAUGUUGUUACAGUUUUGAAAGUCUCAGAUGAGUUGCUUGUGCAAAAUAUGUUUAUGUUAACACCACCCUGAGAAGAGAGUAAGGGUGAAAAUAAAUAUUAGAAGAUACCACUGAGGUGUAGGUGAAGUCUUAUGGAUUCAGGCUUCCUGAACUUGAUGUCUCUAAUUUGAGAUUUCCACAAGAUCUAUAUCAUGCAGAAGACACAUAAGAAAGAAUUACCAGAAAGCCAGCACAGCCCUGAAGCAUGAUAAGGCAUUCAGCUGUUCAGAAUUUUCCAGGAACAUCAAUGUGAUGAAAAAAAUAGGAUUGUUACUAGGGUAAAAGCUAGUCAACAUAUUUUAAAUUUCAGAAAAUACAUUAUAAUAUCAGUAGACUGAUAAGUAAAAUCUCAAAGGAGUUUGUUUGCAUUUGGUUCACACAGUCAUUUCAUUCAAAGGCACAGUGAAAUUAUCCAAAUAUUUAUAGUUUAAAUCCUAAACCAUAAAAAUGUCAGUAUUUUUUUUACAGCAAUCACCAUUUCAUAAUAUUUUCUGUCCUUUUUAAAAAAUGUAUUUAUUUCCUUUACAGAAAUGCAGUCUCUUCACAGUUCUGAUAUUUAGACUACUCUUCAGCAUAAAAGCUUCCAAAACACAUGGAUAAAUGAACUGGAAAUUAUGUCUCAUUAAUACAAUUAGGAGAGAAGGAUUUUUAAUUUCAGUUUCUUCAUAGCUAUGUUUUAGCCUAAAAGCAAGAGAGUAAACUAGUUACCUCUGGCAAUUCUGUCUGUCAGCACCAUUUUGUUUGCGACCUAAAAUGCUUGUUUUGUUUCCCACAUUGCUUUUUCGAUAGUAUAUGCCAUAUCCUUCAUAUCACAAGAGCAGAAGGGAGUAGAGCUCUCUGACUGUAAUUGUGUUGUUAAGAUAAGGUCAGUGGUAAUGUCACUUCUGCGAACCCUGAUAGAUAUUUAUCCAAGUCAAACCUGAAUUUUUAAUCAUUAUAAAAUGUUAAUUUUUUUUUACUAGAACUUUCUUGUUUUUUAAAAAGCUUAGGCAAAAUAAAAAUAAUUCCUACCCAGUGAACUUAAUUCUCACAGUUGCACAGAUAAACCAGUAGCAGACCUUCCAUCUUAAAAGUUUAACUGUUGUCUUCUAUAAAUCAAGCUAUCUUAGAGACCCAAAGAAGUUAAUGUAGCAUGGAAUAAUUUUAAUUCAAAUCCUGAGUUUAAAUAUGAAGCUUUAAGGGAACUGGCUCCAAUAGCACAUUGGGGACAUAGAUUUGUCCUUACUGAGUAGUUCUUAGUCUGCAGCAGUAACACCUUCUCCAGGUACUAUAAAUCCAUGAAAAAGAAUCACCUAUCACCUUCCUAGCUUUUUGCUUUUGACCUUCUUAGUUACCAGACUUCUUAGUUUCCUUCUUUUCUGUCCUUCCUGUUCACCCAAGAAAAUAUUUUGUGACAGCAUUGCUAAUCCAAAGUGUGAAAUGAUCUGGACAAUCACCAUCAGUCUCUUCACCCUUGACAUUAAACCUAUUUCUGCAACAAAUGGGAUCAGUCCUUUUAUCUUAAAGACGAAGGUAAAACAGAAUUAUGACUGAUGAUGAAGUAUGACAGCACAUUGUUCCCUACUGAGUAAUGGACAACUCACUGAGCCAUUGGUUGUUUUACUUCUUGUUUGUAUGUGAACACAAGUACCUAGUCAGGUAUGUUACUUAACAGAGAGAAGAAAAAAAUAAAACAAAUUUUUGAAGAUUCAAAGAAAUGUAAGACAGAGAUGAUAAAAUAUAAAGAUUCUCAGCACUAGGAGCUCAUUCUUGCCCAUAGCGGGGUCUGGCUGAAAGCCUGCUACUUUAAGCUUUGUACUUUGAUCCCAGGAAAAAGUUCAGCUCAGAGGAAUGUUUGGUACUAAUUAGUUUAAGGAUUUUGACCAAUAUCUUCUUGUCCUUAAGUGCAGAUUUUCAAAGAAGUGAUUUUUGAUGCUGGAAUUCUCAAUUAAAAUGUUCUUUCUGAAGAUGAGAGCCCAGUUACUCUGAGACAUACAGUGCACUCCUUCAGGCCUUAACGUUCUUCCUUCUGCUAGAACCUAUGACACAUGCUUUCUCCACCGUAAUCACAGAAAGGCAUUAUAAUCAUUAUAAUCAUCAGUCAUCUUUCCAAAAUUCAAACAGUCUUGUUCAAGGUGUUUCCUUCCUUCCUUCCUUCCUUCCUUCCUUCCUUCCUUCCUUCCUUCCUUCCUUCCUUCCUUCCUUCCUUCCUUCCUUCCUUCCUUCCUCACUUUGAUCGUUCCCUUGAAAGUUAAUAAGCUUAAUGUCUGGCCAGACUGUUUCUUUAAAGGAAAAUGGCCAUGCCAUAUUUUUUUGUUACAUGGGUUAAUAAAAAUGUUUGACUUUUUCAAAAAGGAUUUCUAUUGUAUUCCCUUGUACUUGAAUUUAAGGAGAACUUGUUUGAUU